rnacentral:rRNA from 1 species
CCUACGGGAGGCAGCAGUGAGGAAUAUUGGUCAAUGGGCGCGAGCCUGAACCAGCCAAGUCGCGUGAAGGAUGACGGCCCUACGGGUUGUAAACUUCUUUUGUAGAGGAAUAAAGUGAGGCACGUGUGCCUUUUUGUAUGUACUUUAUGAAUAAGGCUCGGCUAACUCCGUGCCAGCAGCCGCGGUAAUCCGGAGGAUCCGAGCGUUAUCCGGAUUUAUUGGGUUUGAAAGGUGCGUAGAGGGGUGGAUAAGUCAGUGGUGAAAGGUUGCGGCUCAACCGUAAAAUUGCAAUUGAUACUGGUAGCCUUGAGUACAGUUGAGGUAGGCGGAAUGCGUGGUGUAGCGGUGAAAUGCUUAGAUAUCACGAAGAACACCGAUUGCGAAGGCAGCUUACUAAACUGUCACUGACAUUGAUGCUCGAAAGCGUGGGGAGCAAACAGGAUUAGAUACCCGUGUAGUC